rnacentral:rRNA from 1 species
CAGUCGCCGCGGUAAUACGUAGGGUGCGAGCGUUAAUCGGAAUUACUGGGCGUAAAGCGUGCGCAAGCGGUUAUAUAAGACAGAUGUGAAAUCCCCGGGCUCAACCUGGGACCUGCAUUUGUGACUGUAUAGCUAGAGUACGGUAGAGGGGGAUGGAAUUCCGCGUGUAGCAGUGAAAUGCGUAGAUAUGCGGAGGAACACCGAUGGCGAAGGCAAUCCCCUGGACCUGUACUGACGCUCAUGCACGAAAGCGUGGGGAGCAAACAGGAUUAGAUACCCCUGUAGUCCCUGUCUCUUAUAC